rnacentral:lncRNA from 1 species
CCCCUAUCCUGGCAAAUUUUUUUAUAUCAAAUUGCCUUUAUUAUUGUUUUUCUUUUUUCUUUCUCUUCUUCUUUUUCCCCCAUUUCCUUUCUCAUCCUCUUCAUCUCCCCUUCUCAUCUCACUCUCCCUUCUUCCCUUCCUUCUCAUCUCACUGUGUUGCUCAGGCUGGAUUUGAACUGAAGAUCUUUCAGCCUCAGUCUCCUAAUAAUGAUAUAUUGCUUUAAUGCAGGACAGAAAGGCAGGGGAGGCAUGGACACUUGAGAAGAAAAGGUUCCUUGUCUUCUGGAGGUUAAUGGAAACUUUUUGCCUGCCGAAAAGCAAGAAUUCCAGCACUGUUUACAGCAUUUGCUAUAAAGGAGAAGACCCAUGUUUCUUCAGACUAUUCAAAGAGUCCAUCCUUACAAAACCACUAUAGACUACUGGCAAUGGUAAGGGUAAAUGGUUCUUCCUGGGCUUGGCCGGAGUCCUGCCACAGGUGGUCAAUAGAUACAAACUGAAAGCUGAACAGAUGAAGCCACGGCAGUGUCUAUCAUUAAUCACGGCUGUGCUCUGAUCUUCUGUUUCUGGGUGUCGCAGUUACCCAGCAUCUAUCGUCCCAAUGGCUCUGCUAAGAAGGUGGGGGUUUCUAUACUUCACAAAGAAAUUUAU